AAGUCGAACGAUGAAGCCUUUCGGGGUGGAUUAGUGGCGAACGGGUGAGUAACACGUGGGCAAUCUGCCCUGUACUUUGGGAUAAGCCUGGGAAACUGGGUCUAAUACCGGAUAUGACCGCUCCUCGCAUGGUUUUUGGUGGAAAGCUCCGGCGGUACAGGAUGAGCCCGCGGCCUAUCAGCUUGUUGGUGGGGUAAUGGCCUACCAAGGCGACGACGGGUAGCCGGCCUGAGAGGGUGACCGGCCACACUGGGACUGAGACACGGCCCAGACUCCUACGGGAGGCAGCAGUGGGGAAUAUUGCACAAUGGGCGCAAGCCUGAUGCAGCGACGCCGCGUGAGGGAUGACGGCCUUCGGGUUGUAAACCUCUUUCGCCAGGGACGAAGCGCAAGUGACGGUACCUGGAUAAGAAGCACCGGCUAACUACGUGCCAGCAGCCGCGGUAAUACGUAGGGUGCGAGCGUUGUCCGGAAUUAUUGGGCGUAAAGAGCUCGUAGGCGGUUUGUCGCGUCGUUCGUGAAAACUCCACGCUUAACGUGGAGCGUGCGGGCGAUACGGGCAGACUUGAGUUCGGUAGGGGAGACUGGAAUUCCUGGUGUAGCGGUGAAAUGCGCAGAUAUCAGGAGGAACACCGGUGGCGAAGGCGGGUCUCUGGGCCGAUACUGACGCUGAGGAGCGAAAGCGUGGGGAGCGAACAGGAUUAGAUACCCUGGUAGUCCACGCUGU
rnacentral:rRNA from 1 species